CCCUUUGUAAUGAUGGCAUACAGAGCAUCGCAGCAUGAAUCAACGGGAUUCACCCCAAACAUGCUUAUGUUGGGUAGGGAAUCUGCCACCCCGUUGGAUAUUAUAUAUGAUAUGCCUUCAUCCUGGAAACAGGUCCCAAAGCAUAACUGGGUCUGGGUUCUGCUAGAUCAGAUGGAAUGGGUCCACCACUUGGUUAGACGACAUUCAGAUGUAGCAAUUAUACGGCAAAAGCAUUAUCACGACAUGAAGAUGUCCUAUGAGCAAUUCAUUGCUGGGGACUCGGUGUAUAUUUUCCACAAAGGAAAACCGGUUGCUCUCCCAAGUUGACGUCGUAUUGACGAGGACCAUUCCAGGUCCUGGCAAAAGUCUCCGAAGUCCUAUACAAGGUCAACUGUGGACGCAACGGAAAGGAACAAGUAGUUCAUUGCGACAGGAUGAAAGCCUGUUAGGCUCAAGUUCUCAGAGGCGAGGGUACCGAGUAAGGGUUCAAUGACUCUCCAAAUGUCAAUAUAGAUUUUGAAGAACAGGAUGAUGACUUCAGAUCAUCCAACAAAAAUGUUGAAGUUACAGACGAGUUGGUUGCUGAGAACCGACGAAAACGCAAAAGACGUACCCCUACUUGGCUACAUGAUUAUGUUCAGGACUAGAACUUGAAUUUCAGUUGUAUAUAUGUCAUAAAUUCUUUAUCUUAGAGCAUGUCUAUCCUAUGAUAGGACCAGUAGCCCUGCUAUUAUUUGUUUUUGUUUGUUUGCAUCAAGAAGACUGAAAUCAGUUGUAUAAGGUUAUUGUGUUUUACCUAUUUUUCAGAUUCAGGUGACCCCCAAGAAAUUGAAGGCGAUUUGUCCAGUGUGUUUUAAAGAAGUGGAAGAGAAGGAUGCCUGGACAGCCCAUGUAGUAAAGUGUGCCAGCAGCAUGUCAGAGUGCGAAAGAUGUCAUGUAUCCUUUAAGAAGAGAGAAUAUCUAGCAAAACACAUGAGGUUGAAGCAUGCAGAGAUCGAUACGUCCAAACAGGCAGAGAAAAAGGCAGAGAAAGACAUUCCGGGACCCAGUUGCUCACCGCAGGGUGAUAGUGACAGUGGGAGCGACUGAGAUGAAGAUCCAGAGGUUCAAUACGCAACUUCCAAGAUAUCAGCUCUUCUGUGGUGGAGUUUGGGUGGUUGCAUGAUGUCUGGUAAUCAUCCUUUCAGCAAUAUAUGAAGACAACGAUAAACAUUUGUACCCACUGUGUGUGCACGAAAAUACAUUUUGCGUCUCACUGUGCGUAAGAGUUCAACAAAGGGAAAUAACUAUUGGGCAACUUGGAAAUUGCGUAUUGCAGGAGACUCUCAAGGAAAAGGAACCCCAGCAGAUAAGGCUGAUACAAUUGACCUGUUGACUGGACGUCCGUACAGAAAACGAACUUCCCCAGUCCUGUUCAAGCUCCCAGAAAAGUGGUCUUCAGAACCGAAGUGUAUCCUGUCCAGGGUGGUGUGGCAGUUGCGACACAGACAGAUGCUGGUGUCGGAAGUACAGUGCCUGGAUAAAAGUACCCAGACAGCUGGCUACUGAAAGCGAGUUAAAGAGGUUACCAUCACCAAGUACCAUGAGAAUGGCAGAAGUGUCGAGAACAUUGUAGAGAGAGAGGAGUUUUAUAAUAUGUAGUAUUUAAGAUUGACUUUUGGAAGCUUGAUGCGGAAAUGUUCAGACAGAUAGUCUUUGAAUAUGAUGUUGACCUUAACUUCUUUAUCUUUAAGAUAUAUAUGUAUAUCAAAAGUUUGCAUAACUUGAAUCGAAAAUUUCAUUUGUUAAAGAUAUGUUCAUCGUUUCCAUAUCUCAUGAUUUCUUCUCAUUAAAUCAUUUAUCAUUA